UACAGAGGUCCCGAGCGUUGUUCGGAUUCACUGGGCGUAAAGGGUGCGUAGGUGGUGAGGUAAGUCGGAUGUGAAAGCUCGGAGCUCAACUCCGAAACUGCAUUCGAUACUGCCGUGCUUGAGGACUGGAGAGGAGACUGGAAUUUACGGUGUAGCGGUGAAAUGCGUAGAUAUCGGGAGGAACACCUGUGGCGAAAGCGGCUCACUGGACCAUAACUGACGCUGAUGCACGAAAGCUGGGGGAGCAAACAGG
rnacentral:rRNA from 1 species